rnacentral:rRNA from 1 species
CAGUGGGGAAUAUUGGGCAAUGGAGGAAACUCUGACCCAGCGACGCCGCGUGCGGGAUGAAGGCCUUCGGGUUGUAAACCGCUUUCAGCAGGGAAGAAGCGAAAGUGACGGUACCUGCAGAAGAAGCACCGGCUAACUAUGUGCCAGCAGCCGCGGUAAUACAUAGGGUGCAAGCGUUGUCCGGAAUUAUUGGGCGUAAAGAGCUCGUAGGUGGUUCGUCACGUCGGAUGUGAAACUCUGGGGCUUAACCCCAGACCUGCAUUCGAUACGGGCGAGCUUGAGUAUGGUAGGGGAGUCUGGAAUUCCUGGUGUAGCGGUGGAAUGCGCAGAUAUCAGGAGGAACACCAAUGGCGAAGGCAGGACUCUGGGCCAUUACUGACACUGAGGAGCGAAAGCGUGGGGAGCGAACAGGAUUA